AGCGUACACGGUGGAUGCCCUGGCAGUCAGAGGCGAUGAAGGACGUGCUAAUCUGCGAUAAGCGUCGGUAAGGUGAUAUGAACCGUUAUAACCGGCGAUUUCCGAAUGGGGAAACCCAGUGUGAUUCGUCACACUAUCAUUAACUGAAUCCAUAGGUUAAUGAGGCGAACCGGGGGAACUGAAACAUCUAAGUACCCCGAGGAAAAGAAAUCAACCGAGAUUCCCCCAGUAGCGGCGAGCGAACGGGGAGCAGCCCAGAGCCUGAAUCAGUGUGUGUGUUAGUGGAAGCGUCUGGAAAGGCGUGCGAUACAGGGUGACAGCCCCGUACACAAAAAUGCACAUACUGUGAGCUCGAUGAGUAGGGCGGGACACGUGGUAUCCUGUCUGAAUAUGGGGGGACCAUCCUCCAAGGCUAAAUACUCCUGACUGACCGAUAGUGAACCAGUACCGUGAGGGAAAGGCGAAAAGAACCCCGGCGAGGGGAGUGAAAAAGAACCUGAAACCGUGUACGUACAAGCAGUGGGAGCACGCUUAGGCGUGUGACUGCGUACCUUUUGUAUAAUGGGUCAGCGACUUAUAUUCUGUAGCAAGGUUAACCGAAUAGGGGAGCCGAAGGGAAACCGAGUCUUAACUGGGCGUUAAGUUGCAGGGUAUAGACCCGAAACCCGGUGAUCUAGCCAUGGGCAGGUUGAAGGUUGGGUAACACUAACUGGAGGACCGAACCGACUAAUGUUGAAAAAUUAGCGGAUGACUUGUGGCUGGGGGUGAAAGGCCAAUCAAACCGGGAGAUAGCUGGUUCUCCCCGAAAGCUAUUUAGGUAGCGCCUCGUGAAUUCAUCUCCGGGGGUAGAGCACUGUUUCGGCAAGGGGGUCAUCCCGACUUACCAACCCGAUGCAAACUGCGAAUACCGGAGAAUGUUAUCACGGGAGACACACGGCGGGUGCUAACGUCCGUCGUGAAGAGGGAAACAACCCAGACCGCCAGCUAAGGUCCCAAAGUCAUGGUUAAGUGGGAAACGAUGUGGGAAGGCCCAGACAGCCAGGAUGUUGGCUUAGAAGCAGCCAUCAUUUAAAGAAAGCGUAAUAGCUCACUGGUCGAGUCGGCCUGCGCGGAAGAUGUAACGGGGCUAAACCAUGCACCGAAGCUGCGGCAGCGACGCUUAUGCGUUGUUGGGUAGGGGAGCGUUCUGUAAGCCUGCGAAGGUGUGCUGUGAGGCAUGCUGGAGGUAUCAGAAGUGCGAAUGCUGACAUAAGUAACGAUAAAGCGGGUGAAAAGCCCGCUCGCCGGAAGACCAAGGGUUCCUGUCCAACGUUAAUCGGGGCAGGGUGAGUCGACCCCUAAGGCGAGGCCGAAAGGCGUAGUCGAUGGGAAACAGGUUAAUAUUCCUGUACUUGGUGUUACUGCGAAGGGGGGACGGAGAAGGCUAUGUUGGCCGGGCGACGGUUGUCCCGGUUUAAGCGUGUAGGCUGGUUUUCCAGGCAAAUCCGGAAAACUAAGGCUGAGGCGUGAUGACGAGGCACUACGGUGCUGAAGCAACAAAUGCCCUGCUUCCAGGAAAAGCCUCUAAGCAUCAGGUAACAUCAAAUCGUACCCCAAACCGACACAGGUGGUCAGGUAGAGAAUACCAAGGCGCUUGAGAGAACUCGGGUGAAGGAACUAGGCAAAAUGGUGCCGUAACUUCGGGAGAAGGCACGCUGAUAUGUAGGUGAAGUCCCUCGCGGAUGGAGCUGAAAUCAGUCGAAGAUACCAGCUGGCUGCAACUGUUUAUUAAAAACACAGCACUGUGCAAACACGAAAGUGGACGUAUACGGUGUGACGCCUGCCCGGUGCCGGAAGGUUAAUUGAUGGGGUUAGCGCAAGCGAAGCUCUUGAUCGAAGCCCCGGUAAACGGCGGCCGUAACUAUAACGGUCCUAAGGUAGCGAAAUUCCUUGUCGGGUAAGUUCCGACCUGCACGAAUGGCGUAAUGAUGGCCAGGCUGUCUCCACCCGAGACUCAGUGAAAUUGAACUCGCUGUGAAGAUGCAGUGUACCCGCGGCAAGACGGAAAGACCCCGUGAACCUUUACUAUAGCUUGACACUGAACAUUGAGCCUUGAUGUGUAGGAUAGGUGGGAGGCUUUGAAGUGUGGACGCCAGUCUGCAUGGAGCCGACCUUGAAAUACCACCCUUUAAUGUUUGAUGUUCUAACGUUGACCCGUGAUCCGGGUUGCGGACAGUGUCUGGUGGGUAGUUUGACUGGGGCGGUCUCCUCCUAAAGAGUAACGGAGGAGCACGAAGGUUGGCUAAUCCUGGUCGGACAUCAGGAGGUUAGUGCAAUGGCAUAAGCCAGCUUGACUGCGAGCGUGACGGCGCGAGCAGGUGCGAAAGCAGGUCAUAGUGAUCCGGUGGUUCUGAAUGGAAGGGCCAUCGCUCAACGGAUAAAAGGUACUCCGGGGAUAACAGGCUGAUACCGCCCAAGAGUUCAUAUCGACGGCGGUGUUUGGCACCUCGAUGUCGGCUCAUCACAUCCUGGGGCUGAAGUAGGUCCCAAGGGUAUGGCUGUUCGCCAUUUAAAGUGGUACGCGAGCUGGGUUUAGAACGUCGUGAGACAGUUCGGUCCCUAUCUGCCGUGGGCGCUGGAGAACUGAGGGGGGCUGCUCCUAGUACGAGAGGACCGGAGUGGACGCAUCACUGGUGUUCGGGUUGUCAUGCCAAUGGCACUGCCCGGUAGCUAAAUGCGGAAGAGAUAAGUGCUGAAAGCAUCUAAGCACGAAACUUGCCCCGAGAUGAGUUCUCCCUGACUCCUUGA
rnacentral:rRNA from 1 species